AUAUUUGGGGUGUUCAGGCUUCCUAAAAGUAAUACCCCGGUAUUAGGUUUUGGGGCUAUGGUAAGGUUUAAGGUUUUUGGCGUUGGGGUUAAAAUCACUGUCCAAAACCUUUGUAGGAACUCUUUUCCAACCUUUUGGAGUUACUUAGACCAAAAAAAAAUGAAAAAGGAAAAAAAUAUUUGGGGUUUUCGGGCUUCCUGAAGGUAAUACCCGGGUAUUAGGUUUUGGGGCUAGGGUAAGGUUUAAGGUUUUUGGCGUUAGGGUUAAAAUCACUGUCCAAAACCUUUGUAGGAACUCUUUUCGAACCUUUUGGAGUUGGUUACACCAACAAAAAUGUAAAAUGAAAAAAAAAAUAUUUGGGGUGUUCGGGCUUCCUGAAGGUAAUACCCGGGUAUUAGGUUAAGGGGCUAUGGUAAGGUUUAAGGUUUUUGGCAUUAGGGUUAAAAUCACUGUCCAAAACCUUUGUAGGAACUCUUUUCCAACCUUUUGGAGUUAGUUAGACCAAAAAAAAAAUGAAAAAUGAAAAAAAAAUAUUUGGGGUUUCCGGGCUUCCUUAAUGUAAUACCCGGGUAUUAGAUUUUAAGGCCAGGGUAAGGUUUAAGUUUUUUGGCAUUAGGGUUAAAAUCACUGUCCAAAACCUUUGUAGGAACUCUUUCCAACCUUUUGGAGUUAGUUAGACCAAAAAAAGAAUGAAAAAUGAAAAAAAAAUAUUUUGGGUGUUCGGGCUUCCUAAAAGUAAUACCCGGGUAUUAGAUUUUAAGGCAAGGGUAAGGUUUAAGUUUUAUGGCGUUAGGGUUAAAAUCACUGUCCAAAACAUUUGUAGGAACUCUUUUCCAACCUUUUGGAGUUACUUAGACCAAAAAAAAAAAAUGAAAAAUGAAAAAAAAAUAUUUGGGGUGUUCAGGCUUCCUAAAAGUAAUACCCGGGUAUUAGGUUAUGGGGCUAUGGUAAGGUUUAAAGUUUUUGGCAUUAGGUUUAAAAUCACUGUCCAAAACCUUUGUAGGAACUCUUUCCCAACCUUUUGGAGUUAGUUAGACCAAAAAAAAAAAUGAAAAAUGAAAAAAAAAUAUUUGGGGUGUUCAGGCUUCCUAAAAGUAAUACCCCGGUAUUAGGUUUUGGGGCUAUGGUAAGGUUUAAGGUUUUUGGCGUUAGGGUUAAAAUCACUGUCCAAAACCUUUGUAGGAACUCUUUUCCAACCUUUUGGAGUUACUUAGACCAAAAAAAAAAAAAAGAAAAAUGAAAAAAAAAUAUUUGGGGUGUUCAGGCUUCCUAAAAGUAAUACCUGGGUAUUAGGUUAUGGGGCUAUGGGAAGGUUUAAAGUUUUUGGCAUUAGGUUUAAAAUCACUGUCCAAAACCUUUGUAGGAACUCUUUCCCAACCUUUUGGAGUUAGUUAGACCAAAAAAAAAAUGAAAAAUGAAAAAAAAAAGUUUGGGGUGUUCGGGCUUCCUGAAUGUAAUACCCGGGUAUUAGAUUUUAAGGCUAGGGUAAGGUUUAAGUUUUAUGGCGUUAGGGUUAAAAUCACUGUCCAAAACCUUUGUAGGAACUCUUUUCGAACCUUUUGGAGUUACUUAGACCAAAAAAAAAUGAAAAAUGAAAAAAAAAUAUUUGGGGUGUUCAGGCUUCCUGAAAGUAAUACCCCGGUAUUAGGUUAUGGGGCUAUGGUAAGGUUUAAGGUUUUUGGCGUUAGGGUUAAAAUCACUGUCCAAAACCUUUGUAGGAACUCUUUUCCAACCUUUUGGAGUUACUUAGACCAAAAAAUAUGAAAAAGGAAAAAAAAAUAUUAGGGGUUUUCGGGCUUCCUGUGGUAAUACCCGGGUAUUAGAUUUAAAGGCUAUGGUAAGGUUUAAGCUUAAUGGCGUUAGGGUUAAAAUCACUGUCCAAAACCUUUGUAGGAACUCUUUUCCAAACUUUUGGAGUUACUUAGACCAAAAAAAAAAAAUGAAAAAAGAAAAAAAAAUUAUUGGGGGUUUUCGGGCUCCCUGAAAGUAAUACCCGGGUAUUAGGUUUUGGGACUAGGGAAAAGUUUAAGGUUUUUGGCGUUAGGGUUAAAAUCACUGUCCAAAACCUUUGUAGGAACUCUUUUCUAACCUUUUGGAGUUAGUUAGACCAAAAAAAAAAUGAAAAAUGAAAAAAAAAUAUUUGGGGUGUUCAGGCUUCCUAAAAGUAAUACCCCGGUAUUAGGUUUUGGGGCUAUGGUAAGGUUUAAGGUUUUUGGCGUUAGGGUUAAAAUCACUGUCCAAAACCUUUGUAGGAACUCUUUUCCAACCUUUUGGAGUUACUUAGACCAAAAAAUAUGAAAAAGGAAAAAAAAAUAUUUGGGGUGUUCGGGCUUCCUGAAGGUAAUACCCAGGUAUUAGGUUGUGGGGCUAUGGUAAGGUUUAAGGUUUUUGGCAUUAGGGUUAAAAUCACUGUCCAAAACCUUUGUAGGAACUCUUUCCCAACCUUUUGGAGUUAGUUAGACCAAAAAAAAAAAAUGAAAAAUGAAAAAAAAAUAUUUGGGGUGUUCAGGCUUCCUAAAAGUAAUACCCGGGUAUUAGGUUAUGGGGCUAUGGUAAGGUUUAAAGUUUUUGGCAUUAGGGUUAAAAUCACUGUCCAAAACCUUUGUAGGAACUCUUUCCAAACCUUUUGGAGUUAGUUAGACCAAAAAAAAAAAUGAAAAAUGAAAAAAA
rnacentral:lncRNA from 1 species